rnacentral:rRNA from 1 species
UACGGAGGAUUCAAGCGUUAUCCGGAUUUAUUGGGUUUAAAGGGUGCGUAGGCGGUCGGAUAAGUUAGAGGUGAAAUCCCGGGGCUCAACUUCGGAAUUGCCUCUGAUACUGUUCGGCUAGAGAGUAGUUGCGGUAGGCGGAAUGUAUGGUGUAGCGGCGAAAUGCUUAGAGAUCAUACAGAGCACCGAUUGCGAAGGCAGCUUACCAAGCUACUUCUGACGUUGAGGCACGAAAGCGUGGGGAGCAAACAGG